rnacentral:rRNA from 1 species
CACGAAGUUAGCCGGGGCUUCUUCUGCGGGUACCGUCAUCAUCGUUCCCGCCGAAAGGGCUUUACAAUCCGAAGACCUUCUUCACCCACGCGGCAUUGCUGGAUCAGGCUUUCGCCCAUUGUCCAAUACUCCCCACUGCUGCCUCCCGUAGGAGUCUGGGCCGUGUCUCAGUCCCAGUGUGGCUGAUCAUCCUCUCAGACCAGCUACCGAUCGCUGCCUUGGUAAGCCAUCACCCCACCAACUAGCUAAUCGGACGCAGGCCGCUCCAAAGGCGGCUGGUUGCCCAGCCUUUGGCCCUCAGGCCCCGUGCGGUAUUAGCCGCAGUUUCCCGCGGUUAUCCCCCACCCUGGAUACGUUCCUACGCGCUCCUCACCCGUCCGCCACUGACCGGAGUUGCCCCGGCCGUCAGACUUGCAUGUGUUAGGCAUGCCGCCAGCGUUCGCUCUGAGCCAGGAUCAAACUCU